UACAGAGGGUGCAAGCGUUAAUCGGAAUUACUGGGCGUAAAGCGUGCGUAGACGGUUACAUAAGUCGGGUGUGAAAGCCCCGGGCUCAACCUGGGAAUUGCAUUCGAGACUGAAUAGCUAGGGUACGGUAGAGGGAAGCGGAAUUUCCGGUGUAGCGGUGAAAUGCGUAGAUAUCGGAAGGAACAUCAGUGGCGAAAGCGGCUUCCUGGACCAGUACCGACGUUCAGGCACGAAAGCGUGGGGAGCAAACAGG
rnacentral:rRNA from 1 species